CUCCCGUUGAUCCUGCCGGACCCGACUGCUAUCAGAGUGGGACUAAGCCAUGCGAGUCAACAUAGCAAUAUGUGGCAUACGGCUCAGUAACACGUAGUCAACAUGCCCAGGGGACGUGGAUAACCUCGGGAAACUGAGGAUAAACCGCGAUAGGUCAUCACUUCUGGAAUGGGUAAUGACUUAAAUCUAUAUGGCCCCUGGAUUGGACUGCGGCCGAUCAGGCUGUUGGUGAGGUAAUGGCCCACCAAACCUGUAACCGGUACGGGCUCUGAGAGGAGGAGCCCGGAGAUGGGCACUGAGACAAGGGCCCAGGCCCUAUGGGGCGCAGCAGGCGCGAAACCUCUGCAAUAGGCGAAAGCUUGACAGGGUUACUCUGAGUGAUUUCCGUUAAGGAGAUCUUUUGGCACCUCUAAAAAUGGUGCAGAAUAAGGGGUGGGCAAGUCUGGUGUCAGCCGCCGCGGUAAUACCAGCACCCCGAGUGGUCGGGACGUUUAUUGGGCCUAAAGCAUCCGUAGCCGGUUCUACAAGUCUUCCGUUAAAUCCACCUGCUUAACAGAUGGGCUGCGGAAGAUACUAUAGAGCUAGGAGGCGGGAGAGGCAAGCGGUACUCGAUGGGUAGGGGUAAAAUCCGUUGAUCCAUUGAAGACCACCAGUGGCGAAGGCGGCUUGCCAGAACGCGCUCGACGGUGAGGGAUGAAAGCUGGGGGAGCAAACCGGAUUAGAUACCCGGGUAGUCCCAGCUGUAAACGAUGCAGACUCGGUGAUGAGUUGGCUUAUUGCUAACUCAGUGCCGCAGGGAAGCCGUUAAGUUUGCCGCCUGGGGAGUACGGUCGCAAGACUGAAACUUAAAGGAAUUGGCGGGGGAGCA
rnacentral:rRNA from 1 species